CCUACGGGAGGCAGCAGUGGGGAAUAUUGCACAAUGGGGGAAACCCUGAUGCAGCGACGCCGCGUGAGUGAAGAAGUAUUUCGGUAUGUAAAGCUCUAUCAGCAGGGAAGAAAAUGACGGUACCUGAUUAAUACGCCCUGGCUAACUACGUGCCAGCAGCCGCGGUAAUACGUAGGGGGCAAGCGCUACCCGGAUUUACUGGGGGUAAAGGGGGCGUAGACGGCAGAGCAAGUCUGGAGUGAAAAGCCGGGGCUUAACCCCGAGACUGCUGUGGAAACUGUGCAGCUAGAGUGCAGGAGAGGUGAGUGGAAUUCCUAGUGUAGCGGUGAAAUGCGUAGAUAUUGGGAGGAACACCAGUGGCGAAGGCGGCUUACUGGACUGUAACUGACGUUGAGGCUCGAAAGCGUGGGGAGCAAACAGGAUUAGAUACCCUAGUAGUC
rnacentral:rRNA from 1 species